AUCGCCUUCCGAACAUUUAAACAUGGAAGGUCCCGCCUGCCCUGUGAUCAUGUAUUUAACGGCCGCGGUAUUUUGACCGUGCAAAGGUAGCGCAAUCACUUGUCUUUUAAAUGAAGACCUGUAUGAAUGGCAUAACGAGGGCUUGACUGUCUCCCCCUCCCAGUCAGUGAAAUUGAUUUUUCCGUGCAGAAGCGGGAAUAUGACCAUAAGACGAGAAGACCCUGUGGAGCUUUAGACAAGAAGUGGAGCUUGUAAAGAUUUAGCCUUUCCCUGCAAUAAAACAAUAAGUGAACCAUUUUACUGUCUUUGGUUGGGGCGACCGCGGGGAAACAAAUAACCCCCACGUGGAAAUAUGAACAUCCUUCUUUAAAACUAGAGCAACAGCUCAAAACAACAGAAUAUCUGACCUAAAUUGACCCGGCGCACUUGCCGAUCAACGAAACCAGUUACCCCAGGGAUAACAGCGCAAUCCUCUCCCAGAGCCCAUAUCGACGAGAGGGUUUACGACCUCGAUGUUGGAUCAGGACAUCCUAAUGGUGCAGCCGCUAUUAAGGGUUCGUUUGUUCAACGAUUAAAGUCCUACGUGAU
rnacentral:rRNA from 1 species